CGCGUAGGUGGCCCGUUAAGUUGCCGGUGAAAUCCCGGGGCUCAACUCCGGGGCUGCCGGUAAGACUGGCGGGCUCGAGCACGGUAGAGGCAGAUGGAAUUCCCGGUGUAGCGGUGGAAUGCGUAGAGAUCGGGAAGAACACCAGUGGCGAAGGCGUUCUGCUGGGCCGUUGCUGACACUGAGGCGCGACAGCGUGGGGAGCAAACA
rnacentral:rRNA from 1 species